CUGGAAUUGCCCCUCCCUUGCCCAUCCCCCUGACAAUCUCAGUCAGAGGCACCUAUAGAAGUCAGUGAGGAGUCAGAAAACAGAGGGAUCGCAUUUGCAUGGUUGGGCCCUCCCCUUCUCAACACUUGAAGAGGUGAAGGGAGAGGUGAAGGGAGGCUCUGCUCAGCUGUGAGGCAACAGAAGGCAGGAUCGGUGCUGACCUCCACCAUGGCCUGGUCCCCUCUCCUCAUCACCCUCCUCGCUCACUGCACAGGUGACUCGAUGUGGGGACACGGGAAGUGGUCCCGGAAGCACAAGUGUGGGCCUGAUUCCUCCUCUUCUCUCUAGACCCCAGGAAUAACAUCUCUGUUUGUUUCUCCUUCCAGGGUCGUGGGCUCAGUCGGGGCUGACUCAACCAUCCUCAGUGUCUGGGGCCCUGGGCCAGAGGGUCACUAUCUCCUGCACUGGAGUUGGUAGUUGGGUGGGCUGGUACCAACAAAUCCCAGGAAUGGCCCCCAAAACCAUCAUCUAUGAUAAUAGCAACCGACCCUCA
rnacentral:lncRNA from 1 species